UGGGGAAUAUUGCACAAUGGGGGAAACCCUGAUGCAGCGACGCCGCGUGAACGAAGAAGGUAUUCGUAUCGUAAAGUUCUGUCCUAUGGGAAGAUAAUGACAGUACCAUAGAAGAAAGCUCCGGCUAAAUACGUGCCAGCAGCCGCGGUAAUACGUAUGGAGCGAGCGUUGUCCGGAAUUAUUGGGCGUAAAGGGUACGCAGGCGGUUUAAUAAGUCGAAUGUUAAAGAUCGGGGCUCAACCCCGCAAAGCAUUGGAAACUGAUAAACUUGAGUAGUGGAGAGGAAAGUGGAAUUCCUAGUGUAGUGGUGAAAUACGUAGAUAUUAGGAGGAAUACCAGUAGCGAAGGCGACUUUCUGGACUCAAACUGACGCUGAGGUACGAAAGCGUGGGGAGCAAACAGG
rnacentral:rRNA from 1 species